rnacentral:rRNA from 1 species
UCGGAGGAAAAGAAACCAACAGGGAUUGCCUCAGUAGCGGCGAGUGAAGCGGCAAAAGCUCAAAUUUGAAAUCUGGCGUCUUUGGCGUCCGAGUUGUAAUUUGAAGAAGGUAUCUUUGGGCCCGGCUCUUGUCUAUGUUCCUUGGAACAGGACGUCACAGAGGGUGAGAAUCCCGUGCGAUGAGAUGGCCCGGGUCUAUGUAAAGUUCCUUCGACGAGUCGAGUUGUUUGGGAAUGCAGCUCUAAGUGGGUGGUAAAUUCCAUCUAAAGCUAAAUAUUGGCGAGAGACCGAUAGCGAACAAGUACAGUGAUGGAAAGAUGAAAAGAACUUUGAAAAGAGAGUGAAAAAGUACGUGAAAUUGUUGAAAGGGAAGGGCUUGAGAUCAGACUUGGUAUUUUGCAAGUUACUCUUUCGGGGGUGGCCUCUGCGGUUUACCGGGCCAGCAUCGGUUUGGAGCGGUAGGAUAAUGGCGGGGGAAUGUGGCACGACUUUGGUUGUGUGUUAUAGCCUCUGACGAUACUGCCAGCCUAGACCGAGGACUGCGGUUUUUACCUAGGAUGUUGGCAUAAUGAUCUUAAGUCGCCCGUCUA